rnacentral:rRNA from 1 species
UACGGGGGGGGCAAGCGUUGUUCGGAAUUACUGGGCGUAAAGGGCUCGUAGGUGGCCAACUAAGUCAGACGUGAAAUCCCUCGGCUCAACCGAGGAACUGCGUCCGAUACUGAAUGGCUUGAAUCCGGGAGAGGGAUGCGGAAUUCCAGGUGUAGCGGUGAAAUGCGUAGAUAUCUGGAGGAACACCGGUGGCGAAGGCGGCAUCCUGGACCGGUAUUGACGCUGAGAGACGAAAGCUAGGGGAGCAAACGGG